ACCCAAGCUACUAAGAGCCAACGGUGAAUGCCUUGGCACUGACUACCGAUGAAGGUCGUGAGAGGCUGCGAUAAGCCGCGGGGAGCUGCCGACUAAGCUUCGAUCCGCGGAUGACCGAAUGGGGAAACCUGGCACUCGUAAUGGAGUGUCACUGCCGUUUGAACACAUAGAACGGCCAGAGGGAACCGGGUGAACUGAAACAUCUAAGUAACCCGAGGAAAGGAAAGCAACAGCGACUCCCUGAGUAGCGGCGAGCGAAACGGGAAGAGCCUAAACUCAGGUGGUGCAAAGCCUGGCGGCGUUGCCAUCUGGGGGUUGAGGGAACCGAUUGGGAGAGCGCCAGAUCUCCCGCAGAGUUACAAAGACAGUGGGUAGUGGAAUCGCUCUGGAAAGGCGAGCCACAGAGGGUAAAAGCCCCGUACACGAAACUCAUCUGUCCUCUGAUCGUGUCUCCCGAGUAGCGCCGGAUCCGGGAAAGCCGGCGUGAAUCUGCGAGGACCACCUCGCAAGGCUAAGCAUAAGUCAGUGACCGAUAGUGAACUAGUACCGUGAGGGAAAGGUGAAAAGCACCCCGGGAGGGGAGUGAAAUAGUACCUGAAACCGUUGGUUUACAAGCAGUCAGAGUGUCGCCUCGAAUGCUUCGGCGUUUGAGGUCACGAUGGCGUGCCUUUUGAAGAAUGAGCCUGCGAGUUAUGGUGUGUGGCAAGGUUAACCCGUGAGGGGAAGCCGGAGCGAAAGCGAGUCUGAACAGGGCGUUCAGUCGCAUGCUGUAGACCCGAAGCCGAGUGAUCUAGCCAUGGGCAGUGUGAAGCGGGGGUAAGACCCCGUGGAGGCGCGAACCCACUUCGGUUGAAAACGGAGGGGAUGACCUGUGGCUAGGGGUGAAAGGCCAAUCAAACUCGGUGAUAGCUGGUUCUCCGCGAAAUGUAUUUAGGUGCAGCGUCGCAUGUUCAGCCGUGGAGGUAGAGCACUGGAUGGGCUAGGGGCCCCACAAGGUUACUGACCCCAACCAAACUCCGAAUGCCACGGUUCCAGAGUGCGGCAGUGAGUCCUCGGGGGAUGAGCUUCGAUGGACAAAAGGGAAACAGCCCAGACCGCCAGUUAAGGCCCCUAAUUCUGUACUAAGUGGUAAACGAUGUGGGAUUGCCCAGACAACCAGGAGGUUGGCUUAGAAGCAGCCACCCUUUAAAGAGUGCGUAACAGCUCACUGGUCGAGUGGCCCUGCGCGGAUAAUGUAACGGGGCUUAAGUACAGAGCCGAAACUGCGGAUGUCUGCGUCUUUGACGCAGGCGUGGUAGCGGAGCGUCGAUCUCGGAGCGAAGCGUCGGUGUGAACCGGCGUGGACCGUGGUCGAGUGCGAAUGCAGGUAUGAGUAGCGAAAGAGGGGUGAGAAACCCCUCCACCGGAAGUCCAAGGGUUCCUGGGGAAGGCUAAUCCUCCCAGGGUAAGUCGGGAGCUAAGGCGAGGCCGACAGGCGUAGUCGAUGCACAACCGGUUGAUAUUCCGGUACCACCAAGUGCGCGUCCAUGCAAAAGCGGGAUUGCUAAGAGGAUGCCUUGCGCCCCAUGAAGGGGCAAUAGGACGAAUCGACCCAUCCCGUGGCUGCAAGCAAUGCGGGGACACAGAAAGGUAGGUGAGCCCAGGCGAUGGUAGUCCUGGGGUAAGCGUGUAGGAGGAGGACCAGGCAAGUCCGGGCCUCAUUUCACUCCGAGACGCGAUGCCGAACCGCUAUAGGUGAAGUCACUGAUCCUAUGCUGUCAAGAAAAGCCGCUAGCGAGCUCACUCGGUGCCCGUACCCCAAACCAACUCAGGUGGACAGGUAGAGAAUACCAAGGUGAUUGGGUGAACUAUGGUUAAGGAACUCGGCAAAUUACGUCCGUAACUUCGGGAGAAGGACGACUCCAAUAGGGUGACAGCCUUCACGGCUUCAGCCCGAAGGAGUGGCACAAACCAGAGGGAAGCGACUGUUUACUAAAAACACAGCAGCGUGCUAAGCCGCAAGGCGAUGUAUACGCUGUGACGCCUGCCCGGUGCUGGAAGGUUACGGGGAAAGGUUAGCCUUCGGGCGAAGCUUUGAACCUAAGCCCCAGUAAACGGCGGCCGUAACUAUAACGGUCCUAAGGUAGCGAAAUUCCUUGUCGGGUAAGUUCCGACCUGCACGAAUGGCGUAACGACUUCCCUACUGUCUCAACCAUAGACCCAGCGAAAUUGAAGUACGAGUAAAGAUGCUCGUUAGCUGCAGAAGGACGGAAAGACCCCGUGCACCUUUACUACAGUUUGGUAUUGGUUUCUGGUCUAGUUUGUGUAGGAUAGGUGGGAGACUUUGAAGCGACAGCGCUAGCUGUCGUGGAGUCAACCUUGAAAUACCACCCUUUCUAUGCUGGGAAUCUAACCUAGGUCCGUGAUCCGGAUUAGGAACAGUGCCAGAUGGGUAGUUUGACUGGGGCGGUCGCCUCCUAAAAGGUAACGGAGGCGCCCAAAGGUUCCCUCAGCCUGGUCGGCCAUCAGGCGUUGAGUGCAAUGACACAAGGGAGCUUGACUGCGAGACGUACAUGUCGAGCAGGUACGAAAGUAGGGCAUAGUGAUCCGGCGGUUGCGUGUGGAAGCGCCGUCGCUCAACGGAUAAAAGGUACGCCGGGGAUAACAGGCUCAUCUUCCCCAAGAGUCCAUAUCGACGGGAAGGUUUGGCACCUCGAUGUCGGCUCAUCGCAUCCUGGGGCUGAAGCAGGUCCCAAGGGUUGGGCUGUUCGCCCAUUAAAGCGGUACGCGAGCUGGGUUUAGAACGUCGUGAGACAGUUCGGUCCCUAUCCUCUGCAGCCGGAAGAGACUUGAGGAAAGCUGUCCCUAGUACGAGAGGACCGGGACGGACGCAGCUCUCGUGUGCCAGUUGUUCCGCCAGGAGCAUGGCUGGUUGGCGACCUGCGGAAGGGAUAACCGCUGAAAGCAUCUAAGCGGGAAGCCUGUUUCAAGAUGAGGUCUCUCACCGGGUAACCGGGUAAGGCCCGUGGUAGAACACCACGUUGAUAGGCCGGAAGUGUAAGCACGGUGACGUGUUCAGCUGACCGGUACUAAUUGGCCGAGGGCUUGGUUCA
rnacentral:rRNA from 1 species